CAUAUGGUAAAUGUGUUGGAGAAUCUUCUCAAUGGUCUAAAAGUGCAUAUUCAUAGUUAUACCACUAUCAGCUUGGAAAGCGACUACAGCGCAACACAGAAAUCAAAGGCUAAGUUUUUUGCAAAGAAAUUGGUUGAUCAGCACUUAAUGUCGACGGCGAUCUAUAUUCUUGAUGUGUGUAGAGCAAUGACAAUUUUUUCAGAGGCAUUAGUCAGCACACAAAAAAAAUGUUUCAACGUAUGAAGUUAAGUCUUAGCUCGAGCAAUUUAGAAAGAUUCGAAGAAAAUCCAGACGCUGGUUUUUACUGGAACAAGCGCUCGAUAUAUGGGAUUGUAAAUUUGCAUGAAGUGAUAAAAGUAUGAA